AUGUUUCAGGGAAAGGUAAGAGAAAAGAAAAUGGCAGAUGAGUUGCAGUUGUUUGCGGAGAUUCAGUAUUGAGAAGGUAAAAUAUGAAAUGGUGGCCGUUUGCAAUGGCUUCGAAAAUAGCCAACUUGAAUUACUGUGGGAAUUACACCUUGUAAAGAGAAAUGCCCAUCUUCCAUUGUCAUGAUUGUGUGAAAGGACGAGCAGAGGAAUGAUUUGAAAAUAUAUGGCAGAACUGAGAAUCCAACCCACAACCCGUAGUCUGGUACUCUACCCAUUGACCAACCCAUGGUCCAUCUGCUACUAUCAUUAUUUGGAUUUUUAAAAAAAACAUUUCAUCUUAUAUUUAUUUAUUCAUUUAUUUUAUAUAGACAUUUGACAUUAAAAUAAAAAGAUUAUGUAUUUUAAUGUAUACAAUUAAUAUGUAAUUAUAUGGGUGUCAUUAGGGU